rnacentral:rRNA from 1 species
CGGUUCCGCUGUCGGUUCGCCGCCCGUCGGUGUCAACUGGCAUGUCCUGGUGGAACGUCCUGCCGGUGGCGGUCCGGGCUUUCGGCUUGCGUAAGGGCUCACGCCCGAAGCAGGCCGAACAGUACCGGCCGCCGGUCCAAUCCCGCCACGGUGCUCUUCACCGAGUGUCGAGGUGGGCCGGCACGUUUACUUUGAACAAAUUAGAGUGCUUAAAGCAGGCUGGUGUCCGCCUGAAUACUGUGUGCAUGGAAUAAUAGAAUAGGACCUCGGUUCUAUUUUGUUGGUUUUCGGAACCCGAGGUAAUGAUUAAUAGGGACAGGCGGGGGCAUUCGUAUUGCGACGUUAGAGGUGAAAUUCUUGGAUCGUCGCAAGACGAACCUAAGCGAAAGCAUUUGCCAAGUAUGUUCUCGUUAAUCAAGAACGAAAGUUAGAGGUUCGAAGGCGAUCAGAUACCGCCCUAGUUCUAACCAUAAACGAUGCCAGCCAGCGAUCCGCCGAAGUUCCUCCGAUGACUCGGCGGGCAGCUUCCGGGAAACCAAAGCUUUUGGGUUCCGGGGGAAGUAUGGUUGCAAAGCUGAAACUUAAAGGAAUUGACGGAAGGGCACCACCAGGAGUGGAGCCUGCGGCUUAAUUUGACUCAACACGGGAAACCUCACCAGGCCCGGACACCGGAAGGAUUGACAGAUUGAGAGCUCUUUCUUGAUUCGGUGGGUGGUGGUGCAUGGCCGUUCUUAGUU